rnacentral:tRNA from 1 species
UCCCUGGUGGCUCAGACAGUAAAGAAUCCACCUGCAAUGUGGGAGACCCGGGUUCGAUUCCUGGGUGGGGAA